rnacentral:rRNA from 1 species
AGUGAACGCUGGCGGUAGGCCUAACACAUGCAAGUCGAACGGCAGCACAGUAAGAGCUUGCUCUUACGGGUGGCGAGUGGCGGACGGGUGAGGAGUACAUCGGACUCUACUUUUUCGUGGGGCAUAACGUAGGUAAACUUACGCCAAUACCGCAUACGACCUACGGUUGAAAGCAGUGGAUCUUCGUACCUUGCGCGAUUGAAUGAGCCGAUGUCGGAUUAGCUAGUUGGCGGGGUAAAGACCCACCAAGGCGACGAUCCGUAGCUGGUCUGAGAGGAGGAUAGGCCACACUGGAGCGGGAACACGCUCAAGACUCCUGAGAGAGGGAGCAGUGGGGAAAAGGGGACAGUGGGCGGGAGCAUGACACAGCCAGAGCGCGUGGGUGAAAGAAACCUUCGGGUUGUGAAGACCUUUUGUGGGGUAAGAAAAGCAGCAGGUUAAUACCAAGCGGUAGUGACGGUACCCAAAGAAGAAGCACCGGCUAACUUCGUG